rnacentral:rRNA from 1 species
GUGACAGCAGCCGCGGUAAUACAGAGGGUGCGAGCGUUAAUCGGAAUUACUGGGCGUAAAGCGCACGUAGGUGUCUUGGCAAGUCGGGUGUGAAAUCCCCGGGCUCAACCUGGGAACUGCAUUCGAGACUGCCUUGCUAGAGUAUGGGAGAGGGAAGUGGAAUUUCCGGUGUAGCGGUGAAAUGCGUAGAUAUCGGAAGGAACAUCAGUGGCGAAGGCGACUUCCUGGACCAAUACUGACACUCAGGUGCGAAAGCGUGGGGAGCAAACAGGAUUAGAAACCCUUGUAGUCC